AAAGACCUGGGAUAGCUGUCUGUAGAGUCGACUGGCUAAAUGCUGCCUCAUGACCGCAACAGCCCAUUUGGUGAAAUGUAGUGUCAUUCCCAGUCCGUAGGGUGACCAAAAGUGGGACACGACUGAAGCGACUUAGCACAGCCCAGCGGUGUCAUUCCCCUCCCACUGCUAGUGUCUACCAGCAGCCCUGCAGGGCAAACAGUGCAUUGAAGGUACAGGGAUUGAUCUGGGGGAUACAGGAGGGAGCCCCAUUUUUUCCCUAACGAGACUAAGAUGAUGGAUUAAAAUGAGGUCUGUUUUUGGGAAGAGGUGAACCAGGAUCACCUGGAGGACAGGCAUACCUGAGAGCCCCGGGGAGUUAUUUUCUGUGCCUCAACUGGAGCUACCUCCUCCUUCAAUGACCAUUUCCCUCAAGGACCAAGAGACCUCCUCAGAUGAGGUGUGCAUGUAUCUGCGGGGAAGGUUAUAAAUUUGGCUGUGUCCCAACACGCUCUGAGGCAGAGGUUUGGGGCUUAGCCAGUCAGACCUCCUUUUUACCUGUCUGACUGAGACUUCCCAGAAGAGCUCUGGAAAGUCAGAGAAAAUGUCAGCUGGAGUGUUUGAGAAAGCAGAAACAGGAUGUAUUUCACACUGAAGGUAAUUACACGGUGGGUGUGUAGUAAAGGGGACUGAGGCAGUUGAAGUCACACAACAGAGAUGCCUCCGAUUGGCUGAGGAAUGUUUCUCCGUCGUGGAUAAAUAUUUUGCAGCAGUUACCUGGGUGAAAACCAGCUUCCUGUAAAGGAUUGAUUUAAAAAAAUAAUAAUAAAUACUCUUGAGGG
rnacentral:lncRNA from 1 species